rnacentral:rRNA from 1 species
UGAGGAAUAUUGGACAAUGGUCGGAAGACUGAUCCAGCCAUGCCGCGUGCAGGAUGACGGCCUUAUGGGUUGUAAACUGCUUUUGUAAGGGAAGAAUAAGAGCUACGCGUAGUUUGAUGACGGUACCUUACGAAUAAGCAUCGGCUAACUCCGUGCCAGCAGCCGCGGUAAUACGGAGGAUGCGAGCGUUAUCCGGAAUCAUUGGGUUUAAAGGGUCCGUAGGCGGGCUAAUAAGUCAGGGGUGAAAUCGUUCAGCUCAACUGAGCAACUGCCUUUGAAACUGUUAGUCUUGAAUAGUUGUGAAGUAGUUGGAAUGUGUAGUGUAGCGGUGAAAUGCUUAGAGAUUACACAGAACACCGAUAGCGAAGGCAUAUUACUAACAAUUGAUUGACGCUGAUGGACGAAAGCGUGGGGAGCGAACAGGAUUAGAUACCCUGGUAGUCCACGCUGUAAACGAUGGAUACUAGCUGUUUGGUUGUAAGGCUGAGUGGCUAAGCGAAAGUGAUAAGUAUCCCACCUGGGGAGUACGUUCGCAAGAGUG